GGGCGUUCUGAAGACCUGCUUUCUAGGCCACGUGCUGAGGACACUCGUUCCUCCCGGGCCGAGCGCCCGCCUAGGGGAAAGUCCCCGGACCCCGGGCAGAAAGUGCCGCGCGCUACGGCGCGCUAUAACCUGUCCCGCCAGCUCCGCUAACACCGCCAAGACGCCCCCGGGCGGAGCGGGGAGCUGGGGUAAGGCGCCCGUCAGUCCCACAGGAACGCAGGUGGUGCCGCCCGGCCGCACCAACACAACGGGGCUCACUCUCAGAACGACC
ensembl:ribozyme RNase_MRP RNase MRP